rnacentral:rRNA from 1 species
GACGAACGCUGGCGGCGUGCUUAACACAUGCAAGUCGAACGGAAAGGCCCUGCUUUUGUGGGGUGCUCGAGUGGCGAACGGGUGAGUAACACGUGAGUAACCUGCCCUUGACUUUGGGAUAACUUCAGGAAACUGGGGCUAAUACCGGAUAGGAGCUCCUGCUGCAUGGUGGGGGUUGGAAAGUUUCGGCGGUUGGGGAUGGACUCGCGGCUUAUCAGCUUGUUGGUGGGGUAGUGGCUUACCAAGGCUUUGACGGGUAGCCGGCCUGAGAAGGUGACCGGCCACAUUGGGACUGAGAUGCGGCCCAGACUCCUACGGGAGGCAGCAGUGGGGAAUAUUGCACAAUGGGCGGAAGCCUGAUGCAGCAACGCCGCGUGCGGGAUGACGGCCUUCGGGUUGUAAACCGCUUUCGCCUGUGACGAAGCGUGAGUGACGGUAAUGGGUAAAGAAGCACCGGCUAACUACGUG